UUUGGAGCCCAACUAACCAAACAUCCCAUUUUAAUUAAUAGGUCCACUUUCAAAAAAAAAAAAACAAGUAGAGGCCCAAAUGACAAAAGCCCAAAUCCCUUUUUCUUCAACCAUUUUACACGUCUCUCUCAUCUUCUUUUAUCUCUCUCUUCUCCUCUUCCUCUCUUCUUCUUCUUCUUCAUUUAAAAUUUCCGCCGCCCCUCCCUUUUUGCGUCGGAGCCGCCUGCCCGGUGAGAGGAGUGCUGCCGCCGAGCGUCGCUCAGCAUCGUUGUACUCCCGCUGUCGCCUUCGAUCCGUCAGCGUCGCCGUCGCGGUGGGGGUCCAGCCGCCGGCUUACUUAGCCGCUGCAAAGUGCCGUCGUGGCUGUUCCGUCGCUGCUGCUGUUCGCCAACGGGAGCUGCUGCCGGAGUCGACGGACAGCGCAGCUGCUGUCGCGCCAUCGUCCCUCCCCGUCGAGCCGCUGCCGUCGCUUCCUCCUCCCCAAAACCACUCCAAACCCGCUCGGAAACACUCCGAAAAGACCCGCAAGGUGUAUUUUUAUUAUCAAGUUACGUUCUUUGGGACUUUCGAUUGCAUACGGCGAGUGUUCAAUUAAUUUCAAUUGUUGAUUGUUAUUUUGUUUGAUUUGAUUAUGGAAGUGGAUUAUGCAAUGAUGUAUGAAAUAUAUAUACAAAGAUUCAUGCUUUGAGGCUUGAAAAGAGAUUAUACCUCAAGAAGGAUUUAAUUUGGUGGUGGAGGAGCAAGAAUGAAAUAAAUUGUGAGAAGAUGGAAAGUGAAGAGAGUUGGAGGUGAAGAGCCCCCAUGGUGAAAGACCGUAGACUACUUGGAGAAGAAGAAGGAAGGAAGACUUUUUUUUUUCUUUUGGGCUUGCUCUCAUAUCUUUGGAAAUUGUAUUGGGCUCAACAUAUAUCAUUUAAAUUAGUUUGGGUUCAUUUAGUUGAAAGCCCAAGUUGAUAAUUAUUUAA